GACGAACGCUGGCGGCGUGCCUAAUACAUGCAAGUUGAGCGCUGAAGGGUGGUACUUGUUCCAACUGGAUGAGCAGCGGACGGGUGAGUAACGCGUGGGGAACCUGCCUUUGAGCGGGGGACAACAUUGGGAAACGAAUGCUAAUACCGCAUAAAAUCUUUAAACACAAGUUUAAAGUUUGAAAGAUGCAAUUGCAUCACUCAAAGAUGAUCCCGCGUUGCUUUAGCUAGUUGGUGAGGUAAAGGCUUACCAAGGCGAUGAUACAUAGCCGACCUGAGAGGUUGAUCGGCCCCACUGGACCUGGGCCACGGCCCAACCUCCUCCGGGGGGCAGCGUAGGGGAAUCUUCGGCAAUGGGCGAAGGCCUGACGGAGCACGGCCGCUGGGUGGAGGAAGGUCUUCGGUCCGUAAACCCCGUUUAUUGGGGAGGACGUUAGUGGGAGUUGACUGUGCACAACGUGACGGUACCUACUCAGAAAGCCACGGCUAACUACGUG
rnacentral:rRNA from 1 species